AUCAUUGGACAAUGUGCGAAAUCCUGAUCCAGCCAGGCCGCGAGUGUGAAGAAGGUCUUCGGUUUAUAAAGCAUUUUAUGUUGGAACGAAUGGACGUAAGUUAAUACCUAGCUGUUCUUACGUUAACGACUUAAUAAGCACCCGAUAACUUAGUGUCAGAAGCCGCGGUAAUACGACGUGUGCAAGCGUUCAUCGGAAUUACUGGGCGUAAAGCGCGCGUAGGUGGUUUGUAAAGUUGGAAGUGAAAGCCCCGGGCUCAACCUGGGAACUGCUUUCAAAACUGGCAAGCUAGAGUAUGGCAGAGGGUGGUGGAAUUUCCUGUGUAGCGGUGAAAUGCGUAGAUAUAGGAAGGAACACCAGUGGCGAAGGCGACCACCUGGGCUAAUACUGACACUGAGGUGCGAAAGCGUGGGGAGCAAACAGG
rnacentral:rRNA from 1 species